UAGCAUAUCAAUAAGCGGAGGAAAAGAAACCAACAGGGAUUGCCCUAGUAACGGCGAGUGAAGCGGCAACAGCUCAAAUUUGAAAUCUGGCUUCGGCCCGAGUUGUAAUUUGUAGAGGAAGCUUUUGGCGAGGCACCUUCUGAGUCCCCUGGAACGGGGCGCCAUAGAGGGUGAGAGCCCCGUAUAGUUGGAUGCCUCCGCCUCUGUAAAGCUCCUUCGACGAGUCGAGUAGUUUGGGAAUGCUGCUCAAAAUGGGAGGUAAAUUUCUUCUAAAGCUAAAUACCGGCCAGAGACCGAUAGCGCACAAGUAGAGUGAUCGAAAGAUGAAAAGCACUUUGAAAAGAGGGUUAAACAGCACGUGAAAUUGUUGAAAGGGAAGCGCUUGUGACCAGACUUGCGCCGGGCUGAUCAUCCGGUGUUCUCACCGGUGCACUCUGCCCGGCUCAGGCCAGCAUCGGUUCUCGCGGGGGGAUAAAGGCUCGGGGAACGUAUCUCCUCCGGGAGUGUUAUAGCCCCGGGUGUAACGCCCUCGCGGGGACCGAGGUUCGCGCAUCUGCAAGGAUGCUGGCGUAAUGGUCACCAGCGACCCGUCUUGAAACACGGACCAAGGAGUCAAGGUUUUGCGCGAGUGUUUGGGUGUUAAACCCGCACGCGUAAUGAAAGUGAACGUAGGUGAGAGCUUCGGCGCAUCAUCGACCGAUCCUGAUGUAUUCGGAUGGAUUUGAGUAGGAGCGUUAAGCCUUGGACCCGAAAGAUGGUGAACUAUGCUUGGAUAGGGUGAAGCCAGAGGAAACUCUGGUGGAGGCUCGCAGCGGUUCUGACGUGCAAAUCGAUCGUCAAAUCUGAGCAUGGGGGCGAAAGACUAAUCGAACCAUCUAGUAGCUGGUU
rnacentral:rRNA from 1 species